rnacentral:rRNA from 1 species
UACGUAGGGUCCGAGCGUUGUCCGGAAUUACUGGGCGUAAAGAGCUUGUAGGUGGUUUGUCGCGUUGUUCGUGAAAACUCACAGCUCAACUGUGGGCGUGCGGGCGAUACGGGCAGACUUGAGUACUGCAGGGGAGACUGGAAUUCCUGGUGUAGCGGUGGAAUGCGCAGAUAUCAGGAGGAACACCGGUGGCGAAGGCGGGUCUCUGGGCAGUAACUGACGCUGAGGAGCGAAAGCGUGGGGAGCGAACAGG